rnacentral:rRNA from 1 species
UACGAAGGGGGCUAGCGUUGCUCGGAUUGACUGGGCGUAAAGGGCGCGUAGGCGGAUAGUACAGUCAGGCGUGAAAUUCCUGGGCUCAACCUGGGGCUGCGUUUGAUACGUAUUGUCUGGAGUUCGGAAGAGGGUCGUGGAAUUCCCAGUGUAGAGGUGAAAUUCGUAGAUAUUGGGAAGAACACCGGUGGCGAAGGCGGCGACCUGGUCCGAUACUGACGCUGAGGCGCGAAAGCGUGGGGAGCAAA